rnacentral:rRNA from 1 species
UACGUAGGGGGCGAGCGUUGUCCGGAGUUACUGGGCGUAAAGCGCACGCAGGCGGUCUGCUAAGUUUGGAGUGACAGUUGGUGGCUUAACUGCCAAAGUGCUUCGAAAACUGACAGACUUGAGGGCUUCAGAGGGACACGGAAUUCCCGGUGUAGUGGUGGAAUGCGUAGAGAUCCGGAAGAACACCAAAGGCGAAGGCACCAUCCUGGGGAGUCACUGACGCUCGGGUGCGAAAGCUAGGGGAGCGAACGGG